GGUCGACGAUUCCUACGGGAGGCAGCAGUGGGGAAUAUUGCACAAUGGGCGCAAGCCUGAUGCAGCCAUGCCGCGUGUAUGAAAAAGGCCUUCGGGUUGUAAAGUACUUUCAGCAGUGAGGAAGGCGGAGUCGUUAAUAGCGGCCUCGUUUGACGUUAGCUGCAGAAGAAGCACCGGCUAACUCCGUG
rnacentral:rRNA from 1 species